UGAAUGAUGAAUUUUAAUCAA
rnacentral:piRNA from 1 species